AUUGAACGCUGGCGGCAUGCUUUACACAUGCAAGUCGAACGGUAACAGGUCUUCGGAUGCUGACGAGUGGCGAACGUGUGAGUAAUACAUCGGAACGUGCCUAGUAGUGGGGGAUAACUACUCGAAACAGUAGCUAAUACCGCAUGAGAUCUACGGAUGAAAGCAGGGGACCUUCGGGCCUUGUGCUACUAGAUCGGCUGAUGGCAGAUUAGGUAGUUGGUGGGGUAAAGGCUUACCAAGCCUGCGAUCUGUAGCUGGUCUGAGAGGACGACCAGCCACACUGGGACUGAGACACGGCCCAGACUCCUACGGGAGGCAGCAGUGGGGAAUUUUGGACAAUGGGCGAAAGCCUGAUCCAGCAAUGCCGCGUGCAGGAUGAAGGCCCUCGGGUUGUAAACUGCUUUUGUACGGAACGAAAAGCCUGGGGCUAAUAUCCCCGGGUCAUGACGGUACCGUAAGAAUAAGCACCGGCUAACUACGUGCCAGCCGCCGCAGUAA
rnacentral:rRNA from 1 species